AGUAAUGUCUCGGGAAACUGCCUGAUGGAGGGGGAUAACUACUGGAAACGGUAGCUAAUACCGCAUAACGUCGCAAGACCAAAGAGGGGGACCUUCGGGCCUCUUGCCAUCAGAUGUGCCCAGAUGGGAUUAGCUAGUAGGUGGGGUAACGGCUCACCUAGGCGACGAUCCCUAGCUGGUCUGAGAGGGAUGACCAGCCACACUGGAACUGAGACACGGUCCAGACUCCUACGGGAGGCAGCAGUGGGGAAUAUUGCACAAUGGGCGCAAGCCUGAUGCAGCCAUGCCGCGUGUAUGAAGCAAGGCCUUCGGGUUGUAAAGUACUUUCAGCGGGGUAGGCAAGGCGAUGAGGUUAAUAACCUUCAUCAAUUGACGUUACCCGCAGAAGAAGCACCGGCUAACUCCCGUGCCAGCAGCCGCGGUAAUACGGAAGGGUGCAAGCGUUAAUCGGAAUUACUGGGCGUAAAGCGCACGCAGGCGGUCUGUCAAGUCGGAUGUGAAAUCCCCCGGGCUCAACCUGGGAACUGCAUUCGUAAACUGGCAGGCUAGAGUCUUGUAGAGGGGGGUAGAAUUCCAGGUGUAGCGGUGAAAUGCGUAAAGAUCUGGAGGAAAACCGGUGGCGGAAGCGGCUCCCUGGACAAAGACUGACGCUCAAGGUGCGAAAGCGUGGGGGAGCAAAACAGGGAUUAGAUACCCUGGUAGUCCCACGCCGUAAACGGAUGUCGACUUGGAGGUUGUGCCCUUGAGGCGUGGCUUCCGGAGCUAACGCGUUAAGUCGACCGCCUGGGGGAGUACGGCCGCAAGGUUAAAACUUCAAAUGAAUUGACGGGGGCCCGCACAAGCGGUGGAGCAUGUGGUUUAAUUCGGAUGCAACGCGAAGAACCUUACCUACUCUUGACAUCCAGAGAACUUAGCAGAGAUGCUUUGGUGCCUUUCGGGAACUCUGAGACAGGUGCUGCAUGGCUGUCGUCAGCUCGUGUUGUGAAAUGUUGGGUUAAGUCCCGCAACGAGCGCAACCCUUAUCCUUUGUUGCCAGCGGCUCGGCCGGGAACUCAAAGGGAGACUGCCAGUGAUAAACUGGCAGGAAGGUGGGGAUGACGUCAAGUUCAUCAUGGCCCUUACGAGUAGGGCUACACACGUGCUACAAUGGCGCUAUACAAAGAGAAGCGUACCUCGCGAGAGCAAGCGGCACCUCAUAAAGUGCGUCGUAGUCCGGAUUGGAGUCUGCAACUCGACUCCAUGAAGUCGGAAUCGCUAGUAAUCGUAGAUCUAGAAUGCUACGGUGAAUACGUUCCCGGGCCUUGUACGACACCGCCCGUCUACUACCAAGGGGAGUGGGUUGCAAAAGAGUAGGUAGGCUUAACCUUGGGGAGGGCGCUUACCACUUUGUGAUUCAUGACUGGGGUGAAUCGUAACGAGGUACCC
rnacentral:rRNA from 1 species